GGAGGGAUAGCUUGGUGGUAGAGCGUGUGCUUAGCAUGCAUGAGGUUCUGGGUUCAAUUCCCAGUACUUCCC
rnacentral:tRNA from 1 species